AAUACAUUCAAAAUAGCGGCGGACGGCUGGAGGGGACGACCCGAUCACGAUGUGCAAGUAUCGGGAGGCCAGUUCCAAGCCGCCGAAUAGAGUCCACGCCGUGUAAGACUUUCACCUCUCGUCCAGCUGGAGCCACGGAGAAAAGAUAUCACAGAAGGGGAGAAGGCAGCAGCAGCAGCAGCAGCAGCAGCAGCAGGAGGAAAAAAAAACCCCAACACAACUAGUAGAAUAUGCAAGAAGAAAAAGAAGAGAGCCUCCAAAAAUGCUUUAAAGGAAGAGGAGCUGCAGAGCAAUGUUUCCGAAACGGGGGGAUCUGCGCGAAUGUCUGUAUAUAGUGAACUUUGACACUACUAUUGAAACUGACACGUUUCUAUGGAGAUCGCUGCGCCUUAUAUGGUGCUCAUGUCAAGGAGCCAAGAGAGGGGCUGCUGGAGACUGAUAAUCAAAGGCGACUGACUGGCCAGAGCCCCGCAUAGAGGAGGAGGAGGAGGAGGAAGAGGAGGGGGAGAGGUGAGAGAGCGAGAGGGAGAGAGAGAGAGAGGAAUGGGAGGCUGAGGUUAUAGCCAAGCCCUCUCUCGCUCUCCAUUGGUUGGAAUCUCCCUCUUGCUCUGUGCGCUGCAAAAAGUGUCUAUCUUUAUAGAUGGGCUUGCUUAAAUCACGUUUUCUUUCUGGGGGGGGGGGGGGGGUCCAGUUAUUUCUAAUAGAAGGAUGUUUAUUUUCAAUACGCUUAGAUGACACCAUUCAUUUGUUUCUUUUAUUUUAUCAACACAAAUUUUCCUUCUAAAGGACGUCUCAUUUUAUUUAUUUAUUUAUUAGUAUUAUUUUUUACUCAUCUAUUGGACAAAUUCAUCACUUCCACCGAAGCGUCUCAAUCUUCCGUGAUUGUGGACAUUUUUUGCAGCGUUGCCAUCUCACCACUGGGGGCUCUCUUUUUCUUCUUUUUUAUUUUCUGUAUUUUUGACAGCCACAAUUUACAUGGACCUCGCUCACUCCUUCGCCGCUAUUUACUUUGAAACCUGAUUAGUAUGGCUCGUCCAUUGUGGCCAAAAGGGAGACAGACGUAGGAAGAACCCCCGGAUAGAAAACGUGCAGAGAAAAAAAAAAAAAAAAAAAAAAAAAAAAAAAAAAAAGGCUGGGGGGUGACAAAAGCUUUUACGCACGCCAAAUAAUCCACUCAAAUUGCGGGACGGAAGUGGUGGUCUUGGACUGGUGUCUUUAUUCCAAAAUGUGUCAUGCUUAGGAUGGAAGCUCGUGCAUGUGUGGGAGCUUCGGCAUGCAUGCGCAUUGCGGUACACGCGCUGGAGAAACGCUCCGGUGUAGCUGAUUGAAACUUACAUUGUGCCGUGAAAGAAACACGUGAGGAUGCAAUUAGAAGAAUUCUGCAUUCAAACAACGCGUGUUAACAAAAAUGGCAUGCAAAGAUGUCAUCAUAAAGAGAAGGGGGAAAAAAAAGGGGGGGGGGGGAAUACAGCAAUUAGCCGGGUCCCUUCUUGUGACUAAUGACAUAGCCGGUGUCACAUAAUGUCUUCAUAAUGACGCUCAUUGACAAUCAUGUGAACUUAUUUGGGGAAUUUGCAUGGGGAUUCCGGCUUUUUGUGUGAGGAUUUCUGCAGGCUUUCUCCCCCCUGUGAGUCGGAAAAAAAAAAUGGAUCGCGCUGCCAUCUAGCGUACAUUGUACAAUUACAACCUCCAUAGGAGCCAAUGCACGAGUAGGAAAGAUUGCUUUUCAGAUUUUGUGCUUUUCAAAGCUCUCACGAAUAAUAAACAUCUAACUGGCCAUGUCUGUAACAUUAAUAGUAUGAAUGAUAGAAUUGCGUUAUUGUAGUAAAGAGGAGUCAAAGGAACACGCAAGAAUAUAUGAAUACUAAUAUUUGUGUCUUUGACGUGGAGAGAGAAAAUCAUAUUUAAUACAACUGCACAGAGCGGCAGAAUCCUAUCAGUUAUUAUAAUCGGUUUUCAUUGAAAAUAUAUAAAUGAACUCUUAAAUGGAAGUCCUUGCACAGAAUUCUUUAGCACGCGGGCAUAUUUGUGUAUAAAUGGAGCUUAAAUAUGCAAGUGACCCUCUUUGGAAGCUCACAGGAGGGAUGGCGUGUUUUUUCCCCUUUCUUUAAAGUAUUCAACAAGAGAGCUCCCUCUCCUUGUCUCCUUCUCGGACAACUCCAAUGAAAACUCCCCGGCCAUGUCUGCAGCUCUUUCAAAAGGGGUACCGCGCGCAGGACGAGCACACACGGAGGGGCAGCGAAUGGGGAGCAGAGCUGGGGGAAAGAAAAAAAGGGAGAAAGUGGACCUCAGUGGGGUAUUAGGGGGAGAAGCACCGUCGAUGGCGGUUUGCGUGGAGCACCGGCAAAAAAAAAAAAGGCAA